rnacentral:lncRNA from 1 species
UACGGGCCAGCCCUGUGGUUUCCCCCCCCCCCCCCCCCGCUCCCAGGCCACUGCGCAGGCGUACCGUGGCUCCGCGCCAUCUUCCCACUUGCUAUGGCCUCUCCCCACAGCUUGCCCAUCUGCCCUUAGAUUUCCUUUCUGAACACUGCUAGCCUCUGCUCUUCGGAUUUCCAUGGGCGAGCCUGCAGCUAGGUCUCCAGCACAUGGAGGACAGCCAUGUGACCCAGCUACCUCCCGUUUAUGCCCCUACAUACUUCUCUUGGCUUCCCAGUGAGGUUUCCAGCAGCGGUGGCCCUUGUCAGCC